rnacentral:rRNA from 1 species
UCCGUAGGGUCCGAGCGUUGUCCGGAAUUAUUGGGCGUAAAGAGCUCGUAGGCGGUCUGUCACGUCGGCUGUGAAAACCCGGGGCUCAACUCCGUGCCUGCAGUCGAUACGGGCAGACUAGAGUUCGGUAGGGGAGACUGGAAUUCCUGGUGUAGCGGUGAAAUGCGCAGAUAUCAGGAGGAACACCGGUGGCGAAGGCGGGUCUCUGGGCCGAAACUGACGCUGAGGAGCGAAAGCGUGGGGAGCGAACAGG